rnacentral:lncRNA from 1 species
GAUAUAUGGAAAUGUGAGAGAGAAAGAUAGAGAGGGAGAGAGAGUGACGCGGCAGGGAGUCAUCUGCGGAAACGACGGUGGUACCGGGGUUUUUCCGGUCACCGCAGCGGCAGUCAACAGUCGCACGGUGGAUAGAGUUUAGUCGUCGUUUCAGCUGAUACCAACAGAAACCGAUGGUCACGGCGGUCAGGAUAUCACAACAGUGAAGAUGGGCUUCAAAAAGCUCCGGUGAAAUACCUAGGGUUCCGGCCAUACUCCGGCGAGUUCCGGCAAAAGCAUUAAAGCUUGCAUGUACCAUGUUCGUGUAGAUUGGUGACUGAUUCGUCUGCGUGUGUACUUUUCCGAUUAUUAAGUCCGUCUUCCAGCUUUUACAUAGGUGCCGAACGUAUGACAGAUUAAUGGGAAUGGGGUGAGUGGGCUGUUACGCUGAAUGGUAAAAGGGACUAGGCAGGUAUAUGCAACCGUGGCGGGUGGUUAUCAUGUUUGCGGGAUAAUUGAAGGCAUUGACUAUUAACGUUUUGUAUUGGGGACGAGUUGAGAGUCCCAAGAGGAACUUGACAUGGCAUUGGCUCGCCAGGGCCAAGUCGCUCAAACUGCACCACAAAGUGCUCUUUAAAUUGUUUGUGUACACUGACAAGAAAACCAAAAGAUUUUUGUCAUUACAGAUGAACUAAAGAUCCAAAAGUUCGAGUUUUCAGCUACUGUGAAUUGGAGAGAGCUACACGGGAGGGUUUACAAAAGAAUCACAAGUAGGAAAAGUAGUUUUCAGGUGUUUUCAAGGGGAUACUGAAGGUGGUGGUGUUGUUGCUAUGAAACGUGCACUUCUUUCACUUGAUAUAUUAUGUAGCUAUCAUUAAUAUGAUGGCAAAGAUGCAAUGAUUAUGAUGCAAACCCGAAUCAAAUGUUGGGUCAAAAUUGAUUUGGGUUAUGAGUUGUAACGUAAAUCAUACAUGUUAUCACACCAAAAAAACUACCAGGUUAAGCGUGUUGCAACGCGCGCAGUGUAUAAAACUAGUUUUAAUUUAAUAAUAAUAAAUGACUAUUCAUUCCCUUU